UACGGGGGGAGCAAGCGUUGUUCGGAUUUACUGGGCGUAAAGGGCGCGUAGGCGGCGUGACAAGUCACUUGUGAAAUCUCCGGGCUUAACCCGGAGCGGCCAAGUGAUACUGUCGUGCUAGAGUGCGGAAGGGGCUACUGGAAUUCUCGGUGUAGCGGUGAAAUGCGUAGAUAUCGGGAGGAACACCAGUAGCGAAGGCGACACUCUGGGCCGGUACUGACGCUCAUGCACGAAAGCGUGGGGAGCAAACAGG
rnacentral:rRNA from 1 species